AAGAAUAUAGUUUAAUUUAAAAUAUUAGAUUGUAAAUCUAAAGUUGUGGUUCUUG
rnacentral:tRNA from 1 species